ensembl:lncRNA
AAAUAAUCCUUCAGUUGUGGGCAAUUGGUUUUGAAUUGGAUUUUAAGUUCCAGUUCUUCCAUUCAACAGCUGUAUAUCCGCAGGCAGAUUGCUUAACCUCUCUGCCUCUUCAUUUCCACAUCCCUAUAAGUGGCCUACUGAGUCCAGCCCUGUAGGGCUGUUGGCAGGCUCACAGAAGACAAUGGAUAGGGAGAAGUUUAGAAAGUCUAAUGCCACUUCCGCAGCUUGUUAUAUAUGCCCUCUUCCUGGAGUGCUGGGAUGGGUUUAGAUCAGUAGAUGUGAGAGCUGGAGAGAUUUUAGAGUUGUGCUGUUCAACCCUUUUACAGAUGAGAAGACUGAAGCCUGGAGAGGUGGAUAUGACUUGCCUAAAGCCACCUAUGGAACUUUAUACAUCCACGUGCAUCUAUGUCCCAUGCGCACAUGCCCUGCAUAUGGAAGGUGCCCAACAGAUGUUAGCUGCUGAGGCUGGAAGACAGGCAUGUCUUGUUCCACGUGGCAGAAUAUGACCACCACACAGUGCCAGGAUUUACCUGGGACCAUUUCAAGAUCUUUCUGUGUUGUUGGGUGUUGUCCUUAUAGACACGCCUGAACCGGCUAAGUCUGCUCCUGCCCCUAAAAAGGGCUCUAAAAAAGCUGUGACCAAGGCCCAGAAGAAGGACGGCAAGAAGCACAAGCGCAGCCGCAGGGGGAGCUACUCCGUGUACGUGUACAAGGUGCUGAAGCAGGUCCAUCCGGACACCGGCUUCUCGUCCAUGGCCAUGGGAAUCAUGAACUCCUUCCUCAACGACAUUUUCCAGUGCAUCGCUGGCGAGACAUCGCGCCUGGCGCAUUACAACAAGCCCUCGACUAUCACAUCCAGGGAGAUCCAGACCGCCGUGCGCUUGCUGCUACCUGGGGAGCUGGCCAAGCAUGCCGUGUCCAAGGGCACUAAGGCUGUCACCAAGUAUACCAGCUCCAAGUAAAGAUAAUAUGCCUAGCCGCUGUUAACGGAGAAGGCAAUGGCACCCCACUCCAGUACUCUUGCCUGGAAAAUCCCAUGGACGGAAGGCCUGGUGGGCUGUAGUCCAUGGGGUUGCUAAGAGUCGGACACGACUGAGCGACUUCACUUUCACUUUCACUAUUUCAAGGCUGGCUCAACUCUCUCCUGGUCUUGAUUCUAAGUUUCUAGACAAGGAAAGUAGACUGGGCCAGUUUGGAUGAGGUGUUUGUCCUGGGUCCUGUUGGCUAUGGUUAGGUGAUGGUGUCAUAGGGAAUGUACGAGGCUGGCAGGACUCAGAUCUGUGUGAGGAUGGGGCAGAGGAAGGGUGUGUGACUCCCUAAUGGAGUCACACAGGCAAACACAUGCAUCUGUUAGAAAUGCUGUGAAACAGGGAUAUAUGUUCAUUGACAUGGAAAGACAGUCAAGAUAUUUUUGAAUGGAAAAAGUGGGUUACAAAACAGUAUGUGUAUCACAGUUUAAAAAGUAAAUAUGCAUAUGUAAUGUGACUGACUUUCCUACAGAGAUGAUAAAUGUUCAUUGAAAUUAUGGGUAGUAGAAUUAGGGGUAAUUUUUCAUUUCUUCUUCUGUAAUAUCUGUGUUUUUCUGAUUUUUCUCUCAUGAAUGAGUAUCAGUUGAGUAAUAAUAAAAUGAUCAUUCUUAC